GGGGCAGCCUGGUUUCGACAUGUAUAAACGAGCAUGAUUGCAAGUGGUAUGCAUCACCUUACGAGCACAAUUAAAAAUAAAUGACGAAACUAACAAUAGUUUCGCUCCUGCUUUUGCUUAAUAGUAAGUAAAACGGAGCACUUCUACUCACUUUUCUUAUAGAGUGAACUAGAGGUUAAUUAAUAUAAGAUAUAUUUUUUAUAUUGAUUAGGUAUAAAAAAUGAAUUAUUACUAAUCUUGUUAUAUAUUAGGUUCGUUUUAAGCCGGAUAUAUAAGACCUUAAAUUAAAACUAAACUUGUAGAUAUUGUGUGACGUGAUAUAUUGGACAGGGGUUCGAAUCCCCUCUGCUCCACCA
rnacentral:tmRNA from 1 species